CUGGAAACUACAUCCGGGUGAUUUCAAAGCACCACAAACCCGCCCGCCCCAUUAGCUGGAGACCAAACGUUCAAAUACCCAAGCCUGUGGCCAGCAUCUCGCAUUAAAACCGUUAACACAUCCUCGCCACUCGAGAGCAGAACGAAGGUAAUGUUUGCGAACUGUCUUUUUAAAACACAACAAAACAGAGCCUUGCGGCUUAAAACUGACAAAUUACAGCAACCAAAAUUGACUUUAAUAAGAUACUUACGUCUGUAAAAAUUCCUCAGAACCGCAUAUACUUAGAAGAUACUCUUUGGGGGAAAGCUGCUCAUUUGCACAUAAAAGUAGAAUUUCGGCAAUUAGGUCUUUGACAAGAUAAUUAGCUGCAAAACAAAAGUGGAUAAUAUGGGUGAGAAAGAGCUCAGGAAAUACCCACUGUGAAGCUUCUAAGCACAAACCCUGAUAAUCACGUUAUGAAGGAUUGUAGCCAGCUAGCUCCAUCCAGGGGAAUUAACGCACAUCACAUUUGUUUGUCCGUUUAUUGCAUUCGUGGCUACUUCAGAUAGAGGCUGCUUGCAAUCAUUUCAAGCUCAGUUCUGUGUGAAGGGAAAAUUUCAAAGCCGGGUAUUGCAUUUCUCCUAUCAAAACCAUUUGGUUUUAUUAUGGCUCCACACGAAAGAUACUCUCGGGACGCUGGGGCGAUGGCUCUGCAGCUAAAUAUACUGUCUGCUCUUCCAGAAGAUGCGGGGUCAAUUCACAGCACUCACAGGGCUGUUCACUGACUCCUGUCUGUAACUCCUGUUCUAGGAGAUCCAAGGUUGUCUUCCAUGGGCAUCAGGGAUAUACACAUACACAUGAAUGCAGGCAAAACACCCACCAAUAAAAUAAUAAAAUAAAAUAAAAUAAAAAAUAAAACCAAAAAGAGAUAUGGUUGGGUUGGAGAGUUGGCGUAGUGGCAGAGACCGCCUCAUUAUCAACCUCUGGGGCAGCCUAGGCAAAUGUAACCUUCGUUCCAGGGCUAUGGCGCCUCCUUCUGGCCAGAGCAGGCACUGCAUGUACAUGUUGCCAGUGCACACCCUUGGACUCACACAUGUAAGUAUAAAACAAAAUAAAAAAAAAAAACCAAAAUAUUUUUUUUUGGUUCUUUUUUUCGGAGCUGGGGACCGAACCCAGGGCCUUGUGCUUCCUAGGUAAGCGCUCUACCACUGAGCUAAAUCCCCAACCCCCAAAAUAUUUUUAAAAGAUGUGUUAUUAUUGCCUUGAUAUUAACAUAAUAUCAAGGUUCUUGGCGUUUUAUGCUAAGUCCUGGAUAUAAUACAGACUUCAUCAUUCUCAGUGAAUUUAUGAAGACAAGUUCUUCAUCCUCUGGGGCUCAGUUUCUUUAUUAAAGAGUUUGGAUUGCAAUAGUUUCUGCCCUUUAGGAAUCUUAUACGUGAGGUUAACACGUAUAAGACAGAUUAAUGUGGCUGAUUUAUUUAAACGUGCCAUGCCCACAUUUUUAGUGUGAGUCAAGGGAUUUGACCACUGCGCAAGUGCAGUUGACUCGUACAGCUGGUAAGGGCUGCUAGUAGAGAACUUCCAAUGGCCAGCUGCUUUGUUCAGUAGCGAUUCAUCUGUAAUUCUGUAUCUGGUUUAUUUUACAAUCAGAUUUUUUUUCCCUUCUACCUCCUUUUUUUGUAAGUGACUUUGAGCGAAACUCGGUAACGUAGAGUGGCAAAAAUGGCAUUGCUGUGACCAAAAAGGAGACACAAACGUAAAGUGUAUAUUUUUAUGGUAGAUCAAGAUGUCAUCAAGGAAUGUAUUUGAAAAACCAAAUAGUAGAGUUCCUGAGGGAGUGACGGACGGCCAUGCCUUGCCCUGGCACAGAGGGUCCUCACCAUAUCACAGCCUGGGGACGCUGAAAGAACGGUGUGGAUUAAAGUUAGCUCAAAGUAAGACCACAGGCAAAAUCCCUGGCAAAGGACUCUGGAAAACAGCAGAGAAAGCUGCUGGUACAUGGUGGCUAGACACCGGGACUUUACUUUCCUGUUGCCAGGACUAUGGGUGCUGCCCUACAUGAUACAUUGUUGCUUAGAUACGGAUCUCCUCUUGAUGUUCCUGUGAGGCCCCAUAGCCCACUGUCCACCUCUCUCCCCCACACUUUAGUUUUGUUGGAGCAGAAGAGUCUGAAAUUUACUUUCAAACACAGACAGUACAGUACUUCUAAGUGUUUCGACUAGCUUUGGAAUGAGGAAACCUAGUUUCUAUGUUUGGGGAGUUGGGGGUAAAUGCAGGAGAGAAAGAAAGUCACAAGCGUGAUUUGGUCCUGGAAAUCUGGAUUCCCCCAGUUCCAAGCCCUCAGCCCACCAGGAUGAGAGCUUUGGAGAAUUGUCUGCUGUGCGUCUAUGAAGUAAGGGCCCCAGCUACCCGUGCCUCAUAGGUCUAGACCUGAAGCCACCAUCUGUAUCCCGGAGUCUUCAAAUCAUUGAACGAGCCCCUCAUCUGUAUAUUGUCAACACACAUACCAGGGCUUCCUUCGUGUGGAUUUUACACCUGUAUUUUUAUUUUAGCCCGCAAGAGAAUCAUUCUAAACAUCCUGUGUCAUCUCUCACUUCUUGUAACUCUCCUCAUUCUUUAACCCUUAAUUCCCCAGCAACUUCAGCCACUGGACCCUGAUAAUGUGCUGGUUAGUUAAAAAAUGGAAGACCAUCGGCUGGAGAGACACAAUUCUGCUCUUAAAUAUUGGGAGCUGGGUCUAUUAAGAGAUGGGCUGACUGUUCGUUGUUGGAGAAAUGGCACGUAUGCUUAAGAACUUAGCUUUCAUCAUCAUCAUCAUCAUCAUCAUCAUCAUCAUCAUCAUCAUCAUCAUCAUCAUCAUUUUGGAAAUACAAGCCAGUGAAUCAGCAGAGAACAAGGCAGGGAUAACUGCCAGGGAAAGACGAGCUCGAGGCUAUAAGGAAAUUGUGAGCUUCGACAUUUGUGUCAUAAGUACAUUCCUAGGUCUUUGAUGCUUUUUUUACACUUAAACUCUAUAAGGAAUGCUGACUUUGUUUAAAAAUAUCUUCUCUCUUGCCUCAGCCAACAGGAGUCUUCAAACCAUAUGGUUUUAACAGGGCAAAAUGGCGCUGAACAGUGGUUCUUUCAGUGAGUUGAAGGCGAUCCGUGAACACGAGUUUUCUUACCGGGUGGCUUAAGAAGAAGAAGUUGUGCCGAGUUAUCAGUGGAAAUUUUAACUCUGAACUGGGUGUCAGCGAAGAGCCGAGAUGGAUAGGCUGUGGUGAUGGCCCAGAUCUUUCCGGAAUUGGAAUUAGUGUCACUUGCAUGAUAUAGUCCUCUUAUUCUGAAAAGCAUGUGUAAAGGAAGAAUAAGCUUAGGGCCGGAUCUGCAUCAUUCUUUUGAAACAUCACCCAAUCACGAGGAACGCCAGCAGCAUGAGAACAACAGGAAAACCAGGAGACAGCCUCCUCUGUCUGUGUGACAUGGGACACUUACUGAGGUUGCUUUGGUGUCCGUUACAAUCACUGCAAGAACAAAGGCAGGGGCAGCUCAUAGGCUUCUGGGGGAUGCACCGUCAUAAAUAAUUAAUACUAUGUUUUCCUAGCUGCCAAGAUAGGAAUUCACCCAGAGUGGCAUCACUUGUGUCCCUGACUUCCCUCCUGAUGCCAGGACCUCCUCUCUCGUGUUCCCUUCACACCCAGUUCCCUCAAAGCUGUAAACACACCCCAGAUAUGAGUAAGUAAAUUAAUUCUUUAGUUUGUGUGUAAUUCACAAA